rnacentral:rRNA from 1 species
GCUACCUGCCGGCGAGUGGCGAACGGGUGAGUAAUACAUCGGAACGUGCCCUGUAGUGGGGGAUAACUAGUCGAAAGACUAGCUAAUACCGCAUACGACCUGAGGGUGAAAGUGGGGGACCGCAAGGCCUCAUGCUAUAGGAGCGGCCGAUGUCUGAUUAGCUAGUUGGUGGGGUAAAGGCCCACCAAGGCGACGAUCAGUAGCUGGUCUGAGAGGACGAUCAGCCACACUGGGACUGAGACACGGCCCAGACUCCUACGGGAGGCAGCAGUGGGGAAUUUUGGACAAUGGGGGCAAAAUGCCGCGUGUGUGAAGAAGGCCUUCGGGUUGUAAAGCACUUUUGUCCGGAAAGAAAUCGCUUCGGUUAAUACCUGGAGUGGAUGACGGUACCGGAAGAAUAAGGACCGGCUAACUACGUGCCAGCAGCCGCGGUAAUACGUAGGGUCCAAGCGUUAAUCGGAAUUACUGGGCGUAAAGCGUGCGCAGGCGGUUGUGCAAGACCGAUGUGAAAUCCCCGGGCUUAACCUGGGAAUUGCAUUGGUGACUGCACAGCUAGAGUGUAGGUAGAAUUCCACGUGUAGCAGUGAAAUGCGUAGAGAUGUGGAGGAAUACCGAUGGCGAAGGCAGCCUCCUGGGAUAACACUGACGCUCAUGCACGAAAGCGUGGGGAGCAAACAGGAUUAGAUACCCUGGUAGUCCACGCCCUAAACGAUGUCAACUAGUUGUUGGGGAUUCAUUUCCUUAGUAACGUAGCUAACGCGUGAAGUUGACCGCCUGGGGAGUACGGUCGCAAGAUUAAAACUCAAAGGAAUUGACGGGGACCCGCACAAGCGGUGGAUGAUGUGGAUUAAUUCGAUGCAACGCGAAAAACCUUACCUACCCUUGACAUGCCACUAACGA